rnacentral:rRNA from 1 species
GUCUUUUUGGUAUUUAAUAUAAAGUCUAACCUGCCCACUGAAAAUUGUUUAAAGGGCCGCAGUAUUUUGACUGUGCAAAGGUAGCAUAAUCAUUAGUCUUUUAAUUGAAGGCUGGUAUGAAUGGUUGAAUAAGAUACAUGCUGUGUCAUAAAAAUUAAUAAUUGAAUUUAACUUUUUAGUCAAAAGGCUAAAAUUAAUUUAAAAGACGAGAAGACCCUAUAGAGCUUUAUAUACUAAUUAUUUAAGUUAUUAAGAUUUUUAAAAUUUAAUUUUUAAAGUAUAUUUUGUUGGGGUGACAAUAAAAUUUAUAAAACUUUUAUUUUUAUUAAACAUUAAUUUAUGAUUAAAUGAUCCAGUUUUAUUGAUUAUAAAUUUAAGUUACCUUAGGGAUAACAGCGUAAUUUUUUUUAAGAGUUCUUAUCGACAAAAAAGAUUGCGACCUCGAUGUUGGAUUAAGAGUAAUUUUGGGUGCAGAAGUUCAAAAUUUAAGUCUGUUCGACUUUUAGAUUCUUACAU